rnacentral:misc_RNA from 1 species
AUUAAAUAUCAACAUGAGUGGCAAUAGUAGAGUUCUUUUUCCUUCUUUUUCUUCUUUUCUUUUCCUUAAGACGGACAUAGGCCAAUCUAUACAUGUACAUAGAGCUAUUUACAGCAGGCUUAGGAAGUUGCAGGAAAAGAACAUACAUACGACAUAACCGAAAUAAAGAGAAUAUUGGGCUAGAAGGCUUCCUCUGGCAUUAGAAAGUUGUGAUAUUCAAGCUGUGUCAUCUCUCCUCCAUUCACUGAAUCGAAUUGGCAUCGGUAGAAGCUUCCAUCCAUCCCAAGGAUUACCACCGUAUUCUUCUGGUGACCAAAAGCAACGACAUACUGGAAGCCUUCAUGCAAGCGAAACUGAGCAACAGACCACUCUGACUUGAAAUAUUUUGGCAAGACACCUUUGAUGAAGGAAAAUGAGGAGCCAGAUGGUGUCACAGAAAGAGAAGAAUCGUUCUGAUGAGACAUAUCAUUCCCAAGAGAUCCAGAAUUGACUUUAAGGCUGAAUACAUGGACUGUGCCCUUGUCACUGGAGACUGCCAGCCAUUGGGCAGUUGAUGAGAAAGCCAAACUGUAUAUCUCUGCUCUAUCUGCGCCUCUCCUUACCUCUUGAAGCAAAUUUCCAUCAAAUGUGUUGAAAAUCCGAACCAAAGUUCCCUUGGUGCUAGCUGUAGCAAGCAACUGCCCGUUGGUCGUAAGCGCAAAGCAAGCAAUCCUCGAGUCGUGAGCCAUAAUAAACUUUGUUCGUCGAGAGGCAUAAUGCUCAACCCUAACCUGCCCCUUCUGCAGUCCAGGGCAGACAAGCACAAGCGAAGUACUCAACUGGGAAACAGCACAAAGACCCUUAGGGUUCGCAAUGGUUUCGAUCUGAUGCAGCAACUUCAAAUCCGCAAAAUUGUACACAAAAACCUUCUGCUCCAAAAUAACAAUAAUCCGAUCUCUCUGUAGACGAACACCACGAACAGCAGACCGAAAUGAAAGCUCCCCAAUACACCGGCUCUGAUGGUCAUCCCAAAUCAUGACCUUAUUAGGUGGAUACUGAGGAUCCGGCCCACCACCAACAAGAGCCAAAAUAUUACACCGAAAAAGCAUCUCAACAACGCCAACACCACCUCCACGGUCAAAAUCCCUCCGGAAAAUCUCGCGGAACGGAUCGCAAUUGUAGAUCCGAAACCCCCGGUCAGUCCCCGCAGCAAAGCAGCCAUGGUCUUGAUUGAAGGAGAGAUGUAGCAGAGAAGGCUGCAAAGCCAGCGAUUCAACCGCCGGCGACAAACCGGUCGGCUCAGCCGUCUGCGACGAUUGAGGCAGCGCCGAUGAGACGGAAUCAGAAUCAAAGCGUUCAGAGUCGGCGAUCGCGGGCGGUGGGUUGGGGUUGGGGUUGGGAUUAGGCCACGGAGGGGAAGGGAAGGCAGAGAGGGUCUCCAUCUAAUCAAAG